rnacentral:rRNA from 1 species
CGGUAACGGGGCUUCCCGUUCUCUUGUCGCACUUGGCCUUUGAGCAAGUGGUCUGAUACGAGGGAACAGUGAAGCUGCCGACGAGCGGCGGACGGCUGAGUAACGCGUGGGAACAUACCCCAAACUGAGGGAUAACUAGUCGAAAGAUUAGCUAAUACCGCAUGUGAUCUUCGGAUUAAAGGAUUUAUCCGGUUUGGGAAUGGCCUGCGUACGAUUAGAUAGUUGGUGAGGUAAAGGCUCACCAAGUCGACGAUCGUUAGAUGGUUUGAGAGGAUGAUCAUCCAGACUGGGACUGAGACACGGCCCAGACUCCUACGGGAGGCAGCAGUAGGGAAUCUUUCACAAUGGGCGAAAGCCUGAUGGAGCAACGCCGCGUGCAGGAUGAAGGCCUUCGGGUUGUAAACUGCUUUUAUAAGCGAGAAAUAUGAUGGUAACUUAUGAAUAAGGAUCGGCUAACUACGUGCCAGCAGCCGCGGUCAUACGUAGGAUCCGAGCAUUAUCCGGAGUGACUGGGUGUAAAGAGUUGCGUAGGUGGCAUAAUAAGUAGCUAGUGAAAUCUGGUGGCUCAACCAUUCAGACUAUUAGCUAAACUGUUAAGCUCGAGACCGUUAGGGGUAACUGGAAUUUCUAGUGUAGGGUUGAAAUCCGUAGAUAUUAGAAGGAA